rnacentral:rRNA from 1 species
AGCGGCGGACGGGUGAGUAACGCGUGGGUAACCGUGCCUCAUACAGGGGGAUAACAGUUGGAGACGGCUGCUAAUACCGCAUAAGCGCACAGUACCGCAUGGUACGGUGUGAAAAACUCCGGUGGUAUGAGAUGGACCCGCGUCUGAUUAGGUAGUUGGUGGGGUAACGGCCUACCAAGCCGACGAUCAGUAGCCGACCUGAGAGGGUGACCGGCCACAUUGGGACUGAGACACGGCCCAA